GAUGAAGAACGCAGCGAAAUGCGAUAAGUAAUGUGAAUUGCAGAAUUCAGUGAAUCAUCGAAUCUUUGAACGCACAUUGCGCCCGCCAGUAUUCUGGCGGGCAUGCCUGUUCGAGCGUCAUUUCAACCAUCAAGCCCCCGGCUUGUGUUGGGGACCUGCGGCUGCCGCAGGCCCUGAAAAGCAGUGGCGGGCUCGCUGUCACACCGAGCGUAGUAGCAUACAUCUCGCUCUGGGCGUGCUGCGGGUUCCGGCCGUGAAACCACCUUCAUAACCCAAGGUUGACCUCGGAUCAGGUAGGAAGACCCGCUGAACUUAAGCAUAUCAAUAAGCGGAGGA
rnacentral:misc_RNA from 1 species